rnacentral:lncRNA from 1 species
CAGAUAAUACAGUAUUCGUUUGUUUCGGGUAGAUAGUCCGACUAUCCGGAACAAAAUCUCGGACUUACAUCUACCUAUUUAUAGGUUACAGAUCUGUUGACCGUUUUGCUUUCACCUUGCAUCGAAGAGUAUGGUGUGAAGUAUCUGGCCGAUCCAUGAUUGAUUUUGCUGUUGUUACUGCCUCUGGGAAUGUUAUUAGCACAAAGUUCAGUCUAUGACGAUGUGUAUGUGGUUGUUAUUAUUGAUUGAUUAUUGAUUAGUUAACAUUCAGUGGCAAAUAUUUCAUUUAUAUUAAGGAUGAGAACAAAUUAACAACUUAUGAAAAUAAGGUAUGUCGACGGAGUUAAAGACGAAAAAUUACGAAUGUCACUAGGAAAAGAUGUGGUCUUUGAUUUAAGAACACAUUUUGCCUUACAAAUGGCCACCUACGUUUCCCUUAUAAAGAUUUUACAAGGGUUCUUUAAGAUUAUAUGUAUUAUAAUUACAUCAAUUUCGAUCGGACGUGGCUGUGUAUUUAUACAUCCCGUACCCAUUUUGACAAGUAUUUAACUAUGAGGACAUUAUAUCAAUACCCUAUUCAAC